GGGGGUUUGGCCGAGUGGUUAAGGCGUCAGGUUUAGGUUAACAAAUCUAGAGAAAGCUAGUAGGGCAUUAGCCCUUCGAGUACCCUGAUAUCGUAGAUGCGUGGGUUCGAACCCCACAGCCCUCA
rfam:Sugiyamaella lignohabitans strain CBS 10342 chromosome B, complete sequence.